rnacentral:rRNA from 1 species
UACGAAGGGGGCUAGCGUUGUUCGGAAUUACUGGGCGUAAAGCGCGCGCAGGCGGUUCUUUAAGUCAGAGGUGAAAGCCCAGAGCUCAACCCUGGAAUGGCCUUUGAGACUAGAGAACUUGGGUACGGGAGAGGUGAGUGGAAUUCCGAGUGUAGAGGUGAAAUUCGUAGAUAUUCGGAAGAACACCAGUGGCGAAGGCGGCUCACUGGCCCGUUACCGACGCUCAGGCGCGACAGCGUGGGGAGCAAACAGG